rnacentral:rRNA from 1 species
CGGCAUGCCUUANACAUGCAAGUCGAAGGCAGCACGGGAGCAAUCCUGGUGGCGAGUGGCGAACGGGUGAGUAAUAUAUCGGAACGUGCCCAGUCGUGGGGGAUAACGUAGCGAAAGCUACGCUAAUACCGCAUACGAUCUAUGGAUGAAAGCGGGGAUCGCAAGACCUCGCGCGAUUGGAGCGGCCGAUAUCAGAUUAGGUAGUUGGUGAGGUAAAGGCUCACCAAGCCGACGAUCUGUAGCUGGUCUGAGAGGACGACCAGCCACACUGGGACUGAGACACGGCCCAGACUCCUACGGGAGGCAGCAGUGGGAAUUUGGACAAUGGGCGCAAGCCUGAUCCAGCAAUGCCGCGUGCAGGAUGAAGGCCUUCGGGUUGUAAACUGCUUUGUACGGAACGAAACGGUGAGCUCUAAUACAGUUUGCUAAUGACGGUACCGUAAGAAUAAGCACCGGCUAACUACGUG